GGAGAGGUGGCAGAGUGGUCGAAUGCGGCGGUCUCGAAAACCGUUGUCCGGGGUAACUCGGAUCGAGAGUUCAAAUCUCUCCCUCUCCGCCA
rnacentral:tRNA from 1 species